UGAGAUAUGUAUGCAGUGAAUAAGAAAAGACACAUGCAAUAGGACAAGAGAAGAUACAGUGUUGUUGAAGAUAAAAAGCAGCACAGAACUGCAAAGCAAAUAUCAUGAUGCCCAUCUGAGCCUCUUACCAGCUUAAUCAGAAGUAUCAACCCCUUGAAAUGGAGAGAUAAUUCAGAUGUCUCUCAUGGAUGUUGUUUCAAAUUCACUGCGGACUCAGGAAGAAAGAACUGCCAAAUUGGAUAUACUUGUGUUACAUUUUAAGGUUAUUUUUGCCAUUAUAUCUGCUAAAGAUUUUUUUUUUAAAUGAAAGGUUAGAUUCUGGAGCACAAGAUCACAGCCUCCAGAAAAAGAAUCAGUUUACCAACUGCAAGCUGUCCUAAAUAUUCUCUUGCUAGAUUGGUUUUUAACAUUGUAAAACAUGAAAUUAAGACAAUCCAUUAUUUUGCAUUCUACUCAUAUAAGGCUGAUUAGUGCA